AUUGAACGCUGGCGGCAGGCCUAACACAUGCAAGUCGAACGGUAACAGGAAGCAGCUUGCUGCUUCGCUGACGAGUGGCGGACGGGUGAGUAAUGUCUGGGAAGCUGCCUGAUGGAGGGGGAUAACUACUGGAAACGGUAGCUAAUACCGCAUAAUGUCGCAAGCCCAAAGAGGGGGACCUUCGGGCCCCUUGCCAUCGGAUGUGCCCAGAUGGGAUUAGCUUGUUGGUGGGGUAACGGCUCACCAAGGCGACGAUCCCUAGCUGGUCUGAGAGGAUGACCAGCCACACUGGAACUGAGACACGGUCCAGACUCCUACGGGAGGCAGCAGUGGGGAAUAUUGCACAAUGGGCGCAAGCCUGAUGCAGCCAUGCCGCGUGUAUGAAGAAGGCCUUCGGGUUGUAAAGUACUUUCAGCGGGGAGGAAGGGAGUAAAGUUAAUACCUUGGCUCAUUGACGUUACCCGCAGAAGAAGCACCGGCUAACUCCGUG
rnacentral:rRNA from 1 species